GAGCGUGACGCCACUGCCGUGACGUCUGGAACGUUCCUGCCCGGGGAAAACAGCGCUGGCUGCAGCCCAGGGAUCUUUAAUAGAGACAGAACAUGGAUGUGGGGAUGCUUGUGUGUAAUUAUACACAACGUAUAGGGCCAUUUCGCAUAUGGGAGCACUUGGAGCCCUUUGAUCCUUCUCACCCAUAAAACCGGGCCGGAGGGGCCUGGCGUGGGGGAGUGGGGUCACAGAGGGGCUCUCUGUCGUUCCAGCGAAGGCCAGGGCUGUGCCUGUAUUUUCUCAUUUCCCAUCAGUGUUCAGGAAAGAGAUCUGCCAGCACAGCUGGAAGGAAGCAGGAGAGCACUGCUGGUGUCCUCUGGAGCCCAGCUUGGAGGCCUUUGUAGGCAAAGCAGAGGGCUGCUCUGUAUAAUAGAUUCUUGAUAGAAGAGCUUGCAUUUGUGAGGUGUGUCAUGCAACGGGGGAGAGACCAAAGCAAAGGCACUGAGGAAAGCCUGCCAACAGUGUGAUAUAAACAAUCAAGUGGAUGUGUUGCUGAAGACAAGGGGGUUUAAUUGCAUGACUUGUCUGUCCUCCUUGCUCACUAGCUAAACCUAAACCUGAGUGUCUGGAUAAUACAGAUCUGGGCUUAUCCCACAAACUGCUCCAGACCUCAUGGCAGCCUUGCUAUGCCCCUGCCGUCCCUGCAGCUGGACACUAGGGACCUUCAGGGACAGCACAACAUCAAAAAUCCUUGUGCUCAGAGGCUUUCCUCCAUCUUACAGGCUGCUGGCAAGUAUUUGCUUGCCAAGGAAGAUCCAGCAAAGGAAUGCUGGUGACAGGCUAUUUGAGCCACAAAACUGGCCAACAGACACAGCUGGGAAACACACUGCAGCACAAAGAAAAAAUAAUAAAGGCUGGGAGAAGUUCUUUUCCCCUCUACAGAACUGUAAUUGGGUCUUCUCUUUUUUUUUUUUUUUUCAGCUCAGUUGGGGUAUGAACUCCUUAAUCUUAGUUUGACUUAUGGGAAAGGGAGGGCAUUAGCAUAUUUAUAAAAAUUUACCUUGUUCUGAAACUGUAGACAUGCUUCACCUUAUAAUUUCAUGAUUAGUGUCAUUUCAUCAUAGGGGAAAAGCCACUUUUUCUAUCCAGCGGCACAAAACGAAUACAAAUCAAACACAUGCUUUCUGGAAUUAUUCACACAAUGUUUUCAAAAAUCGACAUAGUUCAAUAGUUGAGCAAUAAAUUUUCUUACUAAUGAGACACUAAAAAAU